GCGCACCGGAACGCCGCGGCCGGCGCUCCGUCCAUCCGGCCCGUGGGCUGUGGGGCUCCGGGCGGCGGCGGCGGCUAUGUAGCUGCCGCCGGCCUUGGCCUUGGCCGUGGCCGGGCGGGCGGAUAUGUGGCUUAAAUGGCGCAGGCGUCGGGGCCUAGAGGCUGAAGGGCUGGUCGUCCUAAAAACUAGUGGACGUCGUGCACGGUUACCCGGACGCAGGCCCGCCCCUUCGGGGAACCGCGAGCUCCUCGCAGCUGGUUGGGGACCGUCCUCGCAGUGGCGGCCUCCACCCUGGCUUCUCGCUUAGCCAAGGCUUCUGGAAGGCUCGCAAAGUGUCUGUUGUUGGAAGAAGCCGGGCCCUGACUGGCGCGACGGAUUCGCCCAGCCGCUCAGCAGAGCGUCUGUAGGUCGGAAGUGGGGGGUUAUAUUGGAAUAUGCUUUUUGUCUAAUGAUGUUAGAUAAAAAGCAAAUUGGAGCAGUUUUCUUAUUCGAGUUCAAAAUGGGUCAUAAAGCAGCGAAGACAACUCAAAACAUCAGUAACACAUUUGGCCCAGGAACUGCUAACAAACAUACAGUGCAGUGGUGGCUUAAGAAGUUUUGCAAAGAAGAGAGCCUUGAAGGUGAGGAACGUGAUAUGGGCUAUGGGAAGUUGACAACGACCAAUUGAGAGCAAUCAUUGAACUACAUGAAAAAUUACAGAAGAACUCAGCGUUGACUAUUCUACGGUCAUUAGGGUCGUUCAGCAUUUGAAGCAAAUUGGAAAAACUAUCAUUUUGAAGUGUAGUCUUCUUUUAUCCUAUGCAACAACAAACCAUUUCUCAAUCGGAUUGUGACAUGUAAUGAAAAGUGGAUUUUAUACAACAACCAGCUCAGUGGUUGGACCAAGAGGCAGCUCCAUAGCAGUUCCCAAAGCCAAACUUGCACCAAAAAAAGGUCACGGUCACUGUUUGGUGGUCUGCUGCCCAUCUGAUCCACUACAGUUUUCUGAAUCCUGGCGAAACCAUUACAUCUGAGAAGUAUGCUCAGCAAAUUGAUAAGAUGCACCAAAAACUGCAAUGCCUGCAGCCGGCAUUGGUCAACAGAAAGGGCCCAAUUCUUCUCCACGACAACACCUGACUGCAUGUCGCACAACCAGGGCUUCAAAAGUUGAAGGAAUUGGGCUACGAAGUUUUGCCUCAUCCAUCAUAUUCACCUGACCUUUCGCCAACUGACUACCACUUCUAGCAUCUUGACAACUUUUUGCAGGGAAAACACUUCAGCGGGAUGCAGAAAAUGCUUUCCAAGAGUUCGUCAAAUCCUGAAGCACGGAUUUUUAUGCUACAGGAAUAAACAUUUCUCAUUAGCAAAAAUGUGUUGAUUGUAAUGGUUCCCGUUUUGAUUAAUAUAAUGUGUUUUAGCUAGUUACAAUGAUUUAAAAUUUGCAGUCUGGAAAUUUAACUUUUGCUCCAACUUAAUAUUUCUAUGGUAAAUCCUUGCAAACAUGGAAACAAUGCAUUUGGCCCAGUGCUUUGUGGUUAUGUACUCUUUUUCUUUUUUUUUAAUAGAUGGCAUUGGCCGGGCAUGGUGGCUCAUGCCUGUAAUCCCAGCACUUUGGGAGGGUGAGGUGGAUGGAUCACCUGAGGUCAGGAGUUCAAGAACAGCCUGGCCAACAUGGUAAAACCCCGUCUCUACUAAAAACACAAAAAAAUUAGCUAGGCGUGGUGGCGGGCAUUUAAUUCCAGCUACUUAAUGAGGCUGCGACAGGAGAAUCAUUUGAACCCGGGAGGCGGAGGUUGCAGUGAGCCGAGAUCACGCCAUUGCACUCCAGCCUGGGCAAUGAGUGAAACUCUAUCUCAAAAAAAAAUAGUUGGGGUCUCGCUGUGUUGACUAGGUGGGUCUCGAACUCCUGGCAUCACGUGAUCCUCCCAUCUUGGCCUCCCAAAGUGUUAGGAUUACAGGCGUGAGCCACCGCACCCUGCCUGGUUGUGUACUCUUUCAAAUACUAAGUUUUUAAUGUUAAAUGCUGUUUCCAGAUACACUGUAAAAAUUCACCUAUCGAUGAGUUUUAUUAAAAACAUUGGAAUUGUACUAGACUUCAAAUACUAAGCAAUAAUUCAGGCUUCGAUGUUGGUUUAUAGUUUUCUCAUUUCUUUCAUUUAAUAGCUCUGUAAAAUGAAGCAGUUACUUCCGUUUUCCUGAGGUGCAGGAACUGUGGCCCAGAUAAGUUAAGUGCCCUGCACAAUGUUAUAGGUCCAGUAAGUGAGACUGGAGCUCUGAUCUAAUCCCUUUGACGUUAAAGUUUGUGCAGUAAACCAGCUAUGUCAGUUUGCCACAUUUGUAAUAGUAUUCAAUAAAUUUUCACUUAAAAGGUUUAAUAUUAAAGUAGUAGCAAGAAUUCAUAAACUUAAUUGGCUUUAACAGCUUUUCUUUCCCUGAAAACAGAUGCGUAUGUACACAUGUACACAGAUUGCUUAUAAUAUCAGCACAUGAAGUCGGCACUGCUUUGGUGCCUUUUUUUUUUUUUUUGGCUCGGUGUUUUGACUGCAAGUCUUUUUGGAUAGAACUUUAUAGUUAGAAAGUAGCUAACGCUUGGAUGGGUUUUAUAGGCACAAAAAACAAGUUUUAUACUAGCUGUACUUUAUUUUUUGAGUUCUUAUUAAUGAGGAGCAUCCAGUUUUGCAUUGACAGUGAUUUCAAGAUUGCUUUAUCAGCCUUUAAAGGAUUCUUGACUAGGCGUGCACAUCAGAACUGCCAGGUCCCCAGUGGUUCUGAGGCAGUAAGCUUUGGGUGGGCUCUGGCAUCAGCACUUUCACUGAGCUUCACAGAUAAUUCUGAUGCAUACUCCAGGCCUGAACCACUGAUCAAUUUGAAACAUGCGUAACAAAGCAAAAAAAGUUUUGUUUCACCUUUUGAAAUACAGUUAACUCUUUUACCAUGCCAGAGAUCAUUCAGAGAGACAGGUCCUUGCUCUGGAGUGAUGAUAUAUAUCUGGCAGUACCCAGCCCUUGUGUGUGUGCAUUAGCUCAGCACCUGCCCACACUGCGAGCCCCCGUAGGAUGUGCCUUGUCCUUCCCUGUUUCAGCCCUUAACACAAUACCUGGUACGGAGUAUGUAGUGGGCAUCUGUUGAAUGAAUGCUUUUCCCAGUAGCAGUGUAUUCAUACAAUAUUAAUAUAUUUGUCCCCUGGGUUACAGAUAAAAAUGAAAGCACCAAGUGCCCAGUGAGUGAGACCCAGGUGUUCUUCCUCCACCCCUAGUGGUCCCCUGGGCAGGUCUUUUUUUUUGUAACACUCAGUCUGUUCUGUAGUCAAUCAUUGAUUGACUUGUCUGUGAACUUGAGAGCAGGAACUGUUUCGUAGUUUCAUUAGCACAGAGCAAACAUGUUUGCCAUGCAAGGUUAUUUUGCAUCUGCAUUUAAGUGAUAAAUGUUGAGUCAAUGAAAAGUUUUGAUUAAGCAAUAGUUGUAGAUAUGCUAGGUUUUUCAAAUUACUAAUAUCAAGUGGAGAUUGUUUUUACUUUUAAGGGUAUUGCUUUUGUGAUAGCAUAAAUAAUGGUUUUCCUUUUUUUGUAAUGUAAAUUAACUGCUGGCAACUUUUGUAUUCCCAUAGACUGGGGAAGCUUAAUUGCCUUUAUAAGUACUUAUGUACAACUUUGUAUCAAAUUUCCUGUAAUAGUUUAUGCUUUAGUACUAUAUAUGUACUAAUAAUUUUAUCUGACUUCUGUUUAUAUCGUUUGUGCAAUUACAUGCUUGUAAAAUAAACUUUUAAACCUCA
rnacentral:antisense_RNA from 1 species